rnacentral:rRNA from 1 species
GACGUAGGGGGCCAGCGUUGUUCGGAAUUACUGGGUGUAAAGGGUUCGUAGGCGGUGCGGCAAGUUGGGAGUGAAAUCUCUGGGCUUAACCCAGAGGCUGCUUCCAAAACUGCUGUGCUUGAGUGUGGGAGAGGCGCGUGGAAUUGCAGGUGUAGCGGUGAAAUGCGUAGAUAUCUGCAGGAACACCCGUGGCGAAAGCGGCGCGCUGGACCACUACUGACGCUGAGGAACGAAAGCGUGGGGAGCGAACAGG